UUGUCCAAUAAAUGCCCGUGUGUGCACGCAGCCGCAGUGCAACAUGUAGGCAGUGAGGAGCACUGACAGCGUGGAGUGCUGUGUGCAGCUGCAGAGAGGAAGACACAAACCAAUUGCUUGAAAUUGCAAUGAAGCAGAUUUAGACUGGAUAUCUGGAAAAAACUUCUUCACUGUUUUAACAGUGAGGCAGUGGAAUAGACUGCAUAGGGAAGCUGUGGCCUCUCCAUCACUGGAGGUGUCCAAGAAGAGUUUACAUCCUGUCCCUACACUGGAGCUACAGCUGCUGCCCCCCCACCUGCGCUCCCGCUGCCUCCGGCCCAGGUCCCGCUCUGGCCCCAACCUGGCUACGCAGCAGUGGUGGCUCCAGGGCUGGGGCUGAAGCUGCCUCCACAAGUGCUGCUGGCAGGUCUUAAACACGACACGAUUGUAUUGGAAGCUUGAAAUGAUGGUAUUUGCUAAAAAACGAUUGUACGCUGACCAAAUAUAUAAAUAAGUCUCCUUCUUGCUUUUACACUGCUCGCUGCAAACUGGCAGCGAGCGAGAACUGGGGCAAAGUUGAAGCAUGUCUUUCUUUUGAUCUAAAGGUAGUGCUGGGAGCGAACCCACAGCUCAGUUACGGCUCCUGGAGAGCGACUCCACCAGCUGCCUCACAAAAUGAUGGCACAUUUUGAACGCUGUUACCGUUAUUGAUGUCCCAUUCUACAAGAGGUUGGAAUUUGGGUGCAAAUACGAUAAUUAGGGUUGA